AUCUGCUGCAAGAAGCACUCUUAACCACUUGGCCAUCUCUCCCGUCUCUGGUUUAUAAUUCAUGCAUACAUUGUAUUGGAAACUUUAUAGCACAGCCCAAAUUCUUCCUGUCAGUGGCUUAGAGUGAAUUUAGGAGCAGCGCUGCUGUUUCCUCUGCUGAGAUGCGUGGAAUAAACAGAAGGCAGGAGGAAGGCAACACUGAAGGAGCACGCUAAUGUGGAGUCAAAGACGCACAACCAGUACUGCUGCCCGGAGCGGAGAUGCUUGGCCCCUCUACCGCCUGACUGCAGGUCAGGCAUGCGCAGAUAAUUACACUGCUGCCAGAGACCGAGAAGCACACCAGCAAUAACGAGACAAGAGUCUCACACUCAUAUCUACUAAAAAGUGCAUUCUUUCACCUUC
rnacentral:lncRNA from 1 species